GCCUCAGUAACGGCGAGUGAAGCGGCAAGAGCUCAAAUUUGAAAUCUGGCGCCCCGCAGGCGUCCGAGUUGUAAUUUGGAGAGGCAUCUUCAGGAGGGGGCCCGGCCUAUGUUCCUUGGAACAGGGCGUCGCAGAGGGUGAGAAUCCCGUUCUUGGCCGGACAGCCCCUCCGGUGUGCAGUGUCUUCUACGAGUCGAGUUGUUUGGGAAUGCAGCUCAAAAUGGGUGGUAAAUUUCAUCUAAAGCUAAAUAUGGGCGAGAGACCGAUAGCGCACAAGUAGAGUGAUCGAAAGAUGAAAAGCACUUUGAAAAUAGAGUCAAACAGCACGUGAAAUUGUUGAAAGGGAAGCGCUUGAGACCAGACUCGGCCAUGGACUAACAGCUGUCCCUUCUGGGCGGUGCACUUGUCCUUGGCCGGGCCAGCAUCGGUUGGGACGGCGGGACAAAGGCUGGGGGAAUGUGACUCCCUUGAGGAGUGUUAUAGCCCCCGGCGCCAUGCCGCCCGCCCCGACCGAGGACCGCGCUUCGGCUAGGAUGCUGGCGUAAUGGUCUUCAGCGGCCCGUCUUGAAACACGGACCAAGGAGUCUAACAUCUAUGCGAGUGUUUGGGCUUCAAACCCUAGCGCGUAAUGAAAGUGAACGGAGGUGGGAACCCCGCAAGGGGCGCACCAUCGACCGAUCCUGAUGUCCUCGGAUGGAUUUGAGUAGGAGCAUAGCUGUUGGGACCCGAAAGAUGGUGAACUAUGCCUGAAUAGGGUGAAGCCAGAGGAAACUCUGGUGGAGGCUCGCAGCGGUUCUGACGUGCAAAUCGAUCGUCAAAUUUGGGUAUAGGGGCGAAAGACUAAUCGAACCAUCUAGUAGCUGGUUCC
rnacentral:rRNA from 1 species